UGAGAAGAGGAAAAAGUCUAGAAUUUGAUGGUCGCAUUGCUGAUGUAGUGUCUUCAGCUAAUCAAAAUGCACCUUUCGAUUUUACUCAUUUUAUCAUGAUUUUUAGAAAAAUAUUUUUGUUGUACAUUUAUUCCAAAAAAGAGAUAUAAUUUAUUGGUUAUGGAUGAUGUGGUGUGAUUGCUAUAUAGUAGACUUUCUUGUGAGAAGAGAGGAUAUGUAUUUGUUUUGAUUUGAAAGUUUAUAAGACUGUAUAUUAAAUAUGCUAUCAGUAACAAUCAUUUAAAAAUCAAGUUGAACCAACCGGUUUGACAGGUCCGACCAUGACCAGGUCAAUAAAGCGGUUCGGUUCAACCUGUAGCACACUAAACUUUUACAAACUGCAGAGAGGAAUAGCAUUUAAUACUAUCAUGGACGCUUUGGCCGAGUUUAGAGAGUUUGGGAGUAUUUUCGAUGCCUAAUUGGCACGAAGAUGGAUUUCAGUGACAAAAUUUGUAAAAACUAUAAUUUUGGUAUUACGUACUUGUACUAAUUAUGGUGUGCUGGAACCCAGUAGGAGGCUAGGUUGAACAGCUCUCGGAUUUUGCAGAACUCACUCGGAUAUCAAUACUAAUACGUGUACCGGUACUAAUUAAUAUGGGCGUUAACGGAACACAGUAGAAAGCUGCUGCGACUAACGUUUGGAUUUUGCGGAACCGAUUUUGGGUACCGAAACUAAGAGGCUGUGUACCGAUACCUACAUUCUUGUACCGGUACUCAAUGAUGAAGAAU
rnacentral:lncRNA from 1 species